GUGGCUGCCCGGCAGGCAGGAAGUGGCUCUGCGGGAAUUGUGAGGGCGACGUCGAGGAGAGGGGGCCUCACACUAGGUCCGCAGCUCAGAGACCUUAACCUUCCUGGUGAAGAAACCUUCAUGACUGAAACAGGAGCCAGUUGGGGUGGGGGUCAGGAGUGAACACAGCAAAGCAGUACCUCCACUCCUCCAGGCUCCCAAUCUCCAAAUGGGAAAUUUGGGUUGGAUUAGUGUUCUUCUACCCAGGAAUGGGCCCGAACUGCAGAAGGGUACAGGUGACCAUCUCCAGGAAGGCAGCUCUGUAGUAUCCCAAGAAGCCGUGGCACUUGGGCAUCACCAAAUCAUAAUUAGCGGAAGGAAUCAUGAGUUGGGAGAAAAAGGUGACUCUGAAGGUGGGCUAGCCUCUGCUAAAACCCUGGAUGCAGGUAGGGCACAAGGACAUCUUAAGACAGCUGCUGUCCCCACCUCACCCCCAGCUGUGAUGGCCCCCAGGUACCUCAGAACUCAGAACCACUAAGAAAUGCUCCCUGUAGUUUUGGAUGGGGAGUGCUUCCUUUCUUUCUCUCUCUGUCUUGUCUGUCUGUCUGUCUGUCUCUCCCUCCCUCCCUUCCUCCCUCCCCUUUCUUCCCCUUCUCCUUAUCCCCAUGUCUCUGCAGGCAAGCAAGAAAAGGCAGGAGGGGGGGUGGUUUUGGCAAGCUAGGGGCUGUGCCCCUGAAGGCCAUGGAGGCCCCAGAGGGCAUGGCUCCCAAUGGACAGCAGGCAGCUCAGUCUUCCACAGGCCAAGAAGGAGUUAACUUCCAAGGAGAACUCGGGCUUUUCCCAGACUAGAGGUCUGUGCCCAGCCUGGCUGCUGCCAACUCUGGGAAGAAGUCCUGGGAUCUGUAGUUUGUGCCACCACCCUUCCCUGGCCUUCUUGUUUAUCACCACCUCCGUGUAGACUACAGUUCCCAGAAACCUGCCGAGGCCAGACUUUGGGGGAAGGGGUGGGCUGUGAGGCUCGGGGAUGGCAGGAGAAAGGGAGAAGGAGGAUGAGGAGAGAAAACCCAAUUCACCCCCUUCCUUUUAAUUCUUUUCCUGGUGUGUCUGCUCCACCACCCGAGCUAAUCCCCCAAAUCCGGUCUCCUAAGCUGCAGCUGCUCCCCUUCACAGUGAUGAAUGGCUCAGGGAGGGAAGGGCCAGAGAGCUCCCCGGAGCAUGAGUGGCCGAGAGGAGGAUGGAAUGAAGGCCAAAGGAAGGGAUGAGCUGGGACAGGGGCUGCUCUGGGGCCUGGUGUCUCUUUUCGUCUCCCACAAGGCUGACCAUACCAAGGAGCAUCUCUGAUCUGGGACCAUGUUGGACCUGAGCUGGGGAGAAGCCAGAGAAGAGGGUGAGCCAGGGCCAGGGUCAGGGCCAGAGCUUACAGUGAGCUGAGCCAAGAGUGGGGUGAGAUAGGAUAGGGAACAGGAGGUUUGCCCGGUGGCUCCCACUCCACCCCUGCCAUAUCUGGG